GACGAACGCUGGCGGCGUGCCUAAUACAUGCAAGUCGAACGCAGUGGCAACCGGUGAGUAACACGUGGGUAACCUCCCAUCAGAGGGGAUAACACUUGGAAACAGGUGCUAAACCGAUACGCAUGGAUGGACCCGCGGUGCAUUAGCUAGUUGGUGAGGUAACGGCUCACCAAGGCCACGAUGCAUAGACGACGUGGGAGGGUGAUCGGCGACAGUGGGACUGAGACGCGAAACAGAAUACUAAGAGAGGCGGCAGUAGGGAAUCUUCGGCAAUAGACGAGAGUCUGGCCGAGCAACGGCGCGUGAGUGGAAAAGGUUGUCGGAUCGGGAAACUGUGUUGUUAGAGAAGCGGUAUCUAGCCAGAAAGCCACGGCUAACGACGUGCCAGCAGCCGCGGUAAUUC
rnacentral:rRNA from 1 species